UACGUAGGGCGCAAGCGUUGUCCGGAAUUAUUGGGCGUAAGGAGCUCGUAGGCGGCUUGUCACGUCGAUUGUGAAAGCCCGAGGCUUAACCUCGGGUCUGCAGUCGAUACGGGCUAGCUAGAGUGUGGUAGGGGAGAUCGGAAUUCCUGGUGUAGCGGUGAAAUGCGCAGAUAUCAGGAGGAACACCGGUGGCGAAGGCGGAUCUCUGGGCCAUUACUGACGCUGAGGAGCGAAAGCGUGGGGAGCGAACAGG
rnacentral:rRNA from 1 species